GGAGUCCGCGCUGUGAGGUGCGCGGCCGAGCCCUGCACUGCGCCCGCGGCCGGAGCUAAGGGAGCCGGGGCUGGGAGAGCCGGGGCGGGCCGCGUCGCCUGUCCCCAGUCCCGGUCUCUCUUCCCCGCUGCCCGGUCCCGCCACCCCACGCCCGUCCCGGUCACCAAGCCGGGCCCUGUCGCCGCGCGAGCCCCGGUUCCGGCAGCUCACCCUGCGGGCGGCCGUCCGGUCCCGGGGCCGCCCGGUUCCCCCCCGUCCCCUUCUAUGCCCGAGGCCGCCCCGUCCCCAACUGUCCCCUUCUACGCCGGGGGCUUCCCGGUCGCCAACUGUCCCCUUCUAUGCCCGGGGCCGCCCCGUCCCCAACUGUCCUCUUCUGCGCCGCUCUGUUUCCCUACAUCCCCCUAGUCAUCCUCUGUUCUCUAACCUUGGGGUACCCCUCUCUGUCCUCCUCCACCUCCGGGUCCCUCUCUGUCCCCCAAGGUUAACAGCUAGGUUUUCCCAUGAACGUGUAAACAAUUUAGGUGCAAGCCGACAUUUAGUGUGUGUGUUUUUUUCCAUAUAAAUUAUCUCCUAAAAUAUACCGUAAUGUUCAUUUUUAAGAAAAAUGUCGAGACUCGAACCAGAGCAUUUUAAAAUCCAAAAUGGAAAACUGAAUUGUAACUGUAUUAUAGUUUUUGUUUCAAAAUAGUUUAAUGAACAUUAAACAUUUUGAAAGAAUGGACUAUGUAAAAAAAAAUUAGAGGGUUUUGUAUGUUAAGUUUUAGAGGGUCCGGCAGAAGCAUGUGGCUGUAAGACUAGGUGGGGACCUUAGUGAGUCUGGAGUGGAGAAAGGAGGUUUGUCUUGUACCUGCGGUAUGUGGGCGGUGAAGGUUAUGCAGAGUGAAUUGACAGUGUUCUUGGCUCGUGUUCAUCACAUUUACCCCAGCAACUGAGAGCCAGGACCAGCCCUUCUUGGGGACCUGCACCUUAACUCUGUUUCCAGGAAUGCAAAUGGCUUUGUUUUGAACCAUCCACAGAUUUGCCCAAGCGCCCAUUGACCGGGGCCCAGUGACUGGCAGCCGAGAGCAUCUGGGCAGCCGUUGUGUUGGGGGCAGGGUUCUCUCAGUAAUUAGCGCUUGUGACCUUGGCCCCGCUAGUUCCUAAGUAAGCAGGAGUGUGGAGCAAGUCCCCCGCUGAGGGCCAGGCACGCUGGAUCAGGGGGAGCCCGAGAUGAAGGGGGAAGGCUCUGUCUGGGCCAGGGAGGACAGGACGGCUGUCUUUGCAAGGCGUGUGGGCGUCCUGGUGAGGGUGUCCCAUUUUAUCUUUGGGACAAUUAAUUAUUGUCUUAAUGUUUUUUAAUAAAUCCACAUUCCUAUAGAACUUAAAUUCAUCCUUGUCUCUUAACAUGCUUUGCCCGGCACUAUGAAGAUUAUAUAGUUUAUUUUUACAAGAGGGAACCUGAUUAGUCAUAAUGCAGAUACAGUACAAUGGCCAUUGUCAUUUUCAGAAAAAAAAAAGAUUUGAAAACAGGGUACAUAUGAACACUAAAUUUCAAAUAGAAUAGAUCCUAUGGCAUCCUGCUGCGCUCAUUGACCAUUGAACACACAUUACUCACACCCUAUGAAUGGCCAGGUAUUGGUACACAGAAAUUUACAAAACAGGCACAAAUCCCUAUUACGGUGUGGGAGAGGUGGGCUGCCAGGAGUAUGUAGAUGUUUGAAAACAAAAGUCCUUAUUACGAGUAAGCAUGUAACCAGUUGGUGAAAAAAUAUCAUUUUCUUUGAUGUGACAAAGAAUAUGCAUCGCAUCUGAACACUAAUAGUUGCGCCUGAUUUUUUUAAGAAGAGCAACAAAGAAUCGUAGAGGGCCAGAUUAAUUCAGAAGGGGGAAGUAUGGCAGGAUAUAAAAAGAUGAUGGAUUUUACACUUUAGUUGUCCAUGCUGUGCGCAUGGCCCUGGUCACGUUAUUUAAAUAGGAGAUUAAAAUGACUAUUAGAAUGAGUUUAGUAUAAUCAGAAGAGUUAAUGGAUUAAAAUUCCUGCUUGGUAGCAAAUAGUAGUGAUUCAAUAAAUUGAAGGCAGUGUUCACUUAUUCACCAUUUAGCCAUUUGUAAGUUUGCUCUUGGUAAUUAUUUUAUAAUCCCCCACCCUUCUUUUAACAUAUGAGUGAAUGCAGACAGAAAAAUGAAGUCAACUUUGCAGGCCACAAAGCAAAUCAGAGACAAGAGUUGGACCUCGACUUGUCCAAUAAUCCCACAGGUGCUUCCUUCUCCUGCCGGUCGCUGAAGAGCCCUGCUCUGUUUUCACUCUCGCAGUCUUGGAGAGAAAAUAAUCAGCUCCAUUUGUUGGACGUGACCCUUGUUCUCUGCUCACCUUGAGCCACUCCUGUCUCUGCCACUAUCUUCAAAAGGUCAAGAUCCCUUCUGGGUGACAGUCGUAGGCUCCUUUCGACGUUCCUGGGGGCCACUUCACCCCCCUGGCACCCCGCUGUUACUUCCUCAGUCCCCACUUAGGCCUCCAUGCCCUCCUCCACUGUUUUUCUUCUCCUCUUAGACCUCCAGGCUGUGCUCAUUUAUUUCAUACCAGGAAGCUCUCUUUGUUGCCUCUCAAAAAUAAAAGUAUACAUUUGAAACCUAAUUUUAAAUUUAAUUUAAAGAUUAAUGGGAUAACAUGUUGGUAUUGAGUACAUUUGAUCUUCCUGUUCUAGAUCAUUCAAGACGGGCUCUUGGGGGAAGUCUUACAAAUCUGUUCUGAGGAUAAUUCCAAUAAUGCCCCCUAAUUAUAUUGACAGAGAAUGCUCCAAUUUUGGGGCAAGAAGCCAAUUUUGUUGUUCUGUUUUGUUUUGGUUUUGGUGUCUGUACCAAUAUAUUGCCUGUUUUGGAGCAAACUACCCUUUUAUUUCAUCUGUUUAUUUUGGGUGUGCAAAAUAUAAUUGUUAAGAAAGUACUUCUGAAUAUUUACAUGAUAGAGCCUAUGUAAGUGUAAAAUGUUCCUUUUUUUUUGAGAUGGAGUCUCCCUCUGUUGCCCAGGCUAGAGUGUAGUGGCACAAUCUUGGCUCACUGCAACGUCUGCCUCCUGGGUUCAAGCAAUUCUCCUUCCUCAGCCUCCCAAGUAGCUGGGAUUCCAGGAAUGCACCACCACGCCUGGCUAAUUUUUGUGUUUUUAGUGGAGAUGGGGUUUUACCAUGUUGGCCAUGCUGUUCUUGAACUCCUGACCUCAAGUGAUCGGCUGCCUCUGCCUCUCAAAUUGCUUGAUUACAGGCAUGAGCCACUGCGCCUGGCCCUGUGAUGUUCAUUUCUCAAUUAUCUCAUUUGCAGAUAGUUCUAUCUAAAUAGUGAGUUGCCUUUUCUCUCCCUAGCGUUUUUACAUAACAUGUAAGGUGUAGUAGAUUCACUU
rnacentral:lncRNA from 1 species